GCCUGGGUGGCCCAGUCAGUUGAGCGUCUGACUUUAGUUCAGGUCAUGAUCUCGCAGUCUGUGGGUUCGAGUCCCGUGUCGGGCU
rnacentral:tRNA from 1 species